GCACAUUAUCCUGCUAGAGCAGCCAUCAUAAGAUGAGUCCGUAUUAGUUGUAAAGAGAUGAGCAUGAUCAGCAACAAUCCUCAGUGGCCACCAUAGUUUGGAUUAUGCGCUUGAAUUGGGAGGAGAAAGAAAACAAAAUUCCGUUGACUGCACUCUACUGCCAUCUAGUGGUGUCUAACAUUUUUCGAGUAAAAUUGGUUUCCACGCUGAACUUCACGCUGUACCUGCAUGAAGACCACUAAUAUGAAGUGACCAGAAGGGGGCACUGCAGCACCCAACAGCAGUCUUGCUCUCAGAGCCGCAUGGGGGAUCCUCCUGUAGUUCCAGGCCUCGUCCUCGCUCAGGUCUACACAUACCACUGAGAAAUUUG